AAUCCAUAGGUUAAUGAGGCGAACCGGGGGAACUGAAACAUCUAAGUACCCCGAGGAAAAGAAAUCAACCGAGAUUCCCCCAGUAGCGGCGAGCGAACGGGGAGGAGCCCAGAGCCUGAAUCAGCAUGUGUGUUAGUGGAAGCGUCUGGAAAGGCGCGCGAUACAGGGUGACAGCCCCGUACACAAAAGCGCAUGUGCUGUGAGCUCGAUGAGUAGGGCGGGACACGUGGUAUCCUGUCUGAAUAUGGGGGGACCAUCCUCCAAGGCUAAAUACUCCUGACUGACCGAUAGUGAACCAGUACCGUGAGGGAAAGGCGAAAAGAACCCCGGCGAGGGGAGUGAAAAAGAACCUGAAACCGUGUACGUACAAGCAGUGGGAGCCCCACCACCAAAGCAUUUGCUGUACCGCGUUGACGGAGCGAAGCGACGUCAAACCGAUAAAACAGCAGUGUAAAGUGAGCCGCAGGGCGCUUUGCGCGACAGCGCAAAGGCAGGCGGUUUCGCGUAGCGAAAGCGA
rnacentral:rRNA from 1 species